rfam:Synergistes sp. 3_1_syn1 genomic scaffold supercont1.8, whole genome shotgun sequence.
UCCGGUCGCGAUCCCUGACGGAUAAUUGUGGAGCACCACAGUGGGGUCGCGGUCAUAUAGAGCCGACCGUCUGGGCAGCAUUC